GACUCCUACGGGAGGCAGCAGUAGGGAAUAUUGGGCAAUGGAGGCAACUCUGACCCAGCCAUGCCGCGUGCAGGAAGACGGUCCUCUGGAUUGUAAACUGCUUUUGAAUGGGAAGAAUGUGUGGCUUGCGAGCUAUAAUGACGGUACCAUUAGAAUAAGCCACGGCUAACUACGUG
rnacentral:rRNA from 1 species